GUACUGCUGAAGAGUCCCAUAUCAGGAUGAAACAACUGUCGAGUAC
rnacentral:hammerhead_ribozyme from 1 species